rnacentral:lncRNA from 1 species
UCAGCCAAAAGGCCUUUCCUUCCCUCCUUCCACCAUGUGAGGUCACAGCUAAAAGGCACUAUCUAGGAACCUGACCCUCAUCAGACAGAAUCUGGCAGCACCUUGAUCUUGGACUUAGCCUCCAGAAUUAUAAGAAAUAAGCUUCUGUUGUUUAGAAGCUAUCCAACAUAACUCCCCAUUACCGACAAAGACAGGCUCUUGACUAUGAAAGGCAGGGCGGGAAACCACCAGCAAGAGUAAGGGGAGGGAGGAACAGAGAGCCUGUGGUAAGAGACCCUGCAGAACAGGAGGUGUGGCCCUUGCAUAAAGCCACAAUCAGUCCCAGUGACCCUGCCGGGAAGGAGCACAACCUGCAAGAGAUCAGGGUGAGGAGAGUAGGUCCAGGAUAUUUUAAUAAGCAUGAAUACUAGCAGGCAUGUGUUUGGGACUGGCUGGGUUGCUGCCCACAACUUACCAAGUAAGGGUGGGUGAGUGGGGUGAGUUCCUAGGAAUGCAUGGACCCAGUCCUGGCAUCUACCACUCGCCCCACAGCUUGCCCAGUUUUGGUCAUAACUCCUGUUAUCAGCAUCCAGUAGGAUGGGGAUCGUGUGAUUGUCAGCUUCUCCAGAACAACAUGGAAUGGAAGAGGUUGUUCCCCCAAAGGAAAAUAUGCAUGGGGAAGUGUGAUGGCAGGAACACCCAUUGCCGGGUAUACUGGAUAAGCAGGGUGGCUUGGAGGAACCAGUAUGUGUGGCUCACAAGAGCAGACUAUCCGAUGUUCAAGAAUUUUGUGAACUGUUAAACACAACUAUUAUUAAAAAAUU